AUGAUUCUGUCUGUGCAGAAAUCUGGGAGGCUCUGCCCAGCCUUCACCUUCCCUGUGUUAACUCAGCUACUGCAGUGCCCAGGGAACACCCAAGGUACAGUCACAGGGUUCUGUCAUUUUUGUUGCCAUUUAGAAGCUGCUUCUCAGUGUGGUGAAAGGAAACCCCAGGAAAUCGGUUCUCCUUUCCUUCUUUGUCGGGAAAGGUGUUCCCCCAAAAGCUGCAGGUGGAACAAGGGGAGCUGGAGAGGAGAAUGGUGUCAUCACCUGAGGGGAAACACAAAGCAGAAAGAAACGAGGAGGGGAAAUUUCGGUGCUUAUUUUUAGACUCCGUGGGUGAGUAUUAUUUUCAGCCUUAUCUCUAUUAAUUUCUGCAGAACAUGGUGUUAACGUGUGAUUAGAAGAAAGCAUUGUCAUUUCUAGCUCAGGCUAAAGUAAUCCCUCCCUGGCAAUCCCUGGAGAGUCAAUACACCCCUUUGUACCAAGGUAAGGCAGCGAAGACAUGGCUACAGAUGUGGAUGUGUCUGAGACAGCUCUAAGCUGUAGAGAAGUAAACCUUACACAUAUAUUUAUGCUUACUGAGUUCACAAAAAUUGUCCCUGACACUGGGUCAGUCCUCCCUGUAGCUGCAAACACUCUGCUAAUGAGUUGGUUUAAAGUUAAAUUUCAGUAUGUUGAUGGAGA
rnacentral:lncRNA from 1 species